AGCUUUGUGCAGUGGCAUUAUUAUAACCAGUGUGGUCUGAGGCACGAUUAUUGCUAAUUGAAAACUUUUCCUUGUCA
rnacentral:snRNA from 1 species